UGGCCACAGGUGUGAUGGCCGAUGCCAAACGGUCUUCUAAAAAAAGAAAGUAGGAAGGAGUGAGAAAGUCACGCCCUCGGCCUCUCCAACUCCUCUCACCAGUCUCUUUCUGCUCUUUGUAGAUGCACCUGCUCAGGUGAGACCUUAGGGAAAAAUAAUUCUGUGGGCCCACCUACGCUGAGAACCAGUUCUUGGGGUGAACCCGUGACAACAUCCAGUAAUGUUAUAACAGCAAUCACUGACUGACCUGAAUUUGCCUAAGCUUUUGGCAAGCCAAGUUUGUCCUAUAUAUUGUCAUUACCUUGGACUGUGAGUGAAUUCUCAGAACUUCCAUUAAUUUGUACAUGACAUGGAAUUAUUGCAUGUAUUGUCACAGUAAUGAAGUCAAUAAACAGUAACCUGAAAAGA